CACGGCGGCUGCACUGCGUGCGGCCAGAGAGAGAGCCGGGAGGAAUAAGCGAAGGAAGAGGUGGCGGGAUCCUGCGGGGCUGGAUUGGAGCCCCGGUGGUGCUACUGCUGCCGUUGGACGCCGGCCGAAGGGACAAGUCCCUAGGUAAGGAAACAACAUGUGUUGCAUCGGCACAUUUGAUGCAGAGUAGCUACUGUAAGUUCCUCUCCCUUCUCUAAUAAGCAUUGCGACCUCUCCCUUCUCUAAUUGGUAUUGAGAUUCAAUUGCUAUUCGAUGGAGAGCAGCCACAAAAAGUUCCUCAAUUGAUGCACAGCGGCCACCGAAAACAGAUCUCGCUUUCAAUCUCUAAUUGAUUCUCAGCUACAGAGUGGCAUGUAUCUAUAGACUUGCUAAUGUGAUGGCUAAUGCAUGUGUAUUAAUUCAUGAAUUAGCAAAAUAUUUCCCGUGAGAUGUGCUAAUAUACAAAUUUGAUGUUCACAGUGCCCUCCACUUUUUUUUUGUUAUGCCUAUAAGAGAUGACUUUUUUUCAAUUUUUAAGUAGAAAAGCACAGUAUGGUUGCUCUUAUAUACAGAUUAUAAAAAGGAAUUGCAAAAUAAGAAGAGUGAUCUGUUCUACUCAAAACAAAAUUGCUGAAAUUCACAUGCAUGGUGGCGCCAUACAGCGAGCGCAUGGUGGCAGAGUUCACAAGCUAGAUCUUUGACUGGCGUUAUGGCUUGUCCUGAUGCAGAGAAGGACGGGGUUCAAGUUGUUGGGCCGGUGGCAGGGGCAGCAUGAUGUUUUCGUCAGGUAACAACCUAGGCAUCGACUCAAGAUUUAACUGAACCAAUUCCUUUAAUUCAGGCUCCAAAUCGUUGUUAUUUGAUUCACCAAUUGGUUGCUGGCAACAACUAAUUGGACAUAUAAUUGUUGAUUUCUGUACAAACAAUAUCUUCAGUUGUUUUCAGAUCUUCAAUAAGGAUCAUCAAGCCCUCUGUUUUUUAUAUGAAGAAUAGAUAUUGUAAUUGUGCCUCCAUUACGUCUAAAAGUCAGGUAUCGGAAAACUGUCAUUGGCAUAUCUCUGUCAUGAUGGAAGAUUGGUUAGACAGAAAAAGGACCUCUGGUUAUGUAUGACAUGAUGUGAGGCACAUAUCUCUGAAUGAAGCGCAACAAGAAUUGACAUCCUCUAAUGCUAGCUGUUGACCAUUCUUCUCUGAAGUAUCAGGUCAGUAUCCCAUGUGCCCCCUAUUCAUCUGUCAUCGCUGCAUAAAAAUUUAAUGCAGUUUUUAAGCCUAUGUUUAAGGAUAGCUAAAUCUCUAUGGACCAACCAUAUUAUCUUUUUGAGAUAAUAAAUCAACCUUCAUCAUGUACUUAUGUUGUAACUUCUCCCAUCUUUUGUGCUAUUAUCUAAAAGAGGUGUGGAUUGGAAUCAGUUUUUUUGCUGCACCCCCAUUCCGACGAGGUCACGCACACAUACCACCGGGAAUCCCACGAAUCCUAUGUUCGAGCGCGAGCGACGGCAAUAGCAUCUGCAAGUACUUGACCAACACGCUACCCGGGUGUGGUAUCCACUAUUGAGGCCAAGCAACCUAGCUCGAGCAAAUUGACGAGGUGUUGAUUGCUGAAUUUGGUCUCAAGAGGCACGUCGUGGGAGAUAUCCCUUGUGGCAGGUUCAAAGUUGUGAUGGUAUCUGGUGUCUCCCAGCGAGAUUUGUUCCUUCUCUUAACAGUUACUAUUAAGAACAAAUUUAUGUUUCCAGCAAAAAAGUUGGCCGGCCCCAGCAAAAAAAAAAGAACAGUUCCAGCAAAAAAAGAUCGUCGCCGUGGUCACAGGUGUUAACAAGCAGUCUUCGGAAUCAUCAAUAAGCCAACAGCGAGAAAUAAGUUUAAGAAUUGAGUUCCCUUAUCGGGGAAAUAAGGAAGGGAAGAAACAAAUAGGAAACAAUCAGAUGAAGCAUCAAGGAAAAUGGAUUGAACAAUCAGAUGAAGCAUCCAGCUCGAGGAGAAGCAUGGUCUGCAAGGAGACCAAUCAUCUUGAGGUGGUUCUUUCAGCUACUGCAUGUUCCAUUACGGAGAAGGGUACUUAGUCGAUCUUAGGAGCCAGACUCUGCUCUCCUUGCAGGGAGAAUUUCAACAAAUGGUACUAUUACUCUCCCAACAAUUCUUUUAUCACUACAAAAUGUGUAGGAACCUUAUUUUUCCCUGAGAUACUGUAAUUGAGGAACCGAGAGCCGCGACGGAACAUUGUAUUUUGCACUACAUCCUGUAUUUGCUUUGUGGGAAGCUGGCUUGAGGACAAAUAUGUCAGCUCCAUUUUCGCUGUGAGUGAUUCUUCAUAUGACGGUAGUGUUGCUUGUGUUCAUAAUCAGUCUCUAUGUAAUGUUUCGGCAGAGAGAGUUGUAACGCCUCGGUCUUCUUGCCGAGUUGCAGAAUGCUGUUGUUCACUCUGCAAUAGGAUGGAUGAACAUGGUUUUCUUUAUUUUA